rnacentral:lncRNA from 1 species
AUCACAUAGGAUGUUCUCUUCCCUUAUUAGGAGUGAUUGAUCUCUUAUUGAUCACUUACAACCUCCAUGCAUACUUUACCAUAUCCAAAAUAUCCCAUACAAGGAUCAAAGAAUCAAGUUAGGAAGUGAACCAAAAUAUGGAUUCAUGUAUACAAGGUACCAUGGUGAUCUCAGGUCAAAAGAUUACUUACAUAACUCCCACU